rfam:Echinops telfairi cont1.392334, whole genome shotgun sequence.
CUCAAUCAAACUUUUCCCAAGCUGGGUAGCGAAAGGCACCUUUGGUUACCUGGAUGGACAG